rnacentral:rRNA from 1 species
UACGAAGGGGGCUAGCGUUGCUCGGAAUCACUGGGCGUAAAGGGUGCGUAGGCGGGCCUUUAAGUCAGGGGUGAAAUCCUGGAGCUCAACUCCAGAACUGCCUUUGAUACUGAAGAUCUUGAGUUCGGGAGAGGUGAGUGGAACUGCGAGUGUAGAGGUGAAAUUCGUAGAUAUUCGCAAGAACACCAGUGGCGAAGGCGACUUACUGGACAGAUAUUGACGCUGAGGUGCGAAAGCGUGGGGAGCAAACAGG